AUUGCAGGCUGCAACCCGCCUGCAUGAAGUCGGAAUUGCUAGUAAUCGCGGAUCAGCAUGCCGCGGUGGAAUACGUUCCCGGGCCUUGUACACACCGCCCGUCACACCAUGGGAGCCGGUAAUACCCGAAGUCAGUAGUCCAACCACGUGAGGACGCUGCCGAAGGUAGGAUUGGCGACUGGGGUGAAGUCGUAACAAGGUACC
rnacentral:rRNA from 1 species